rnacentral:lncRNA from 1 species
AACAUUUUGUCGAGAGUAUACUUUUCCUUAUGACGACGUUAUAUAUACAAAUUAAAAUCAUAUAAAUCUUAUUUUUUAAAAUCUGUUCAUAAAAAAAAUAUCUUCAUAAAUAUUGGUUUGACUAGACACAUAACUAUCAUUAUAAAAAAAAGGCACAUUGAAUGAAAAAUAAAAAACAAUUUCCAAAAUAUUGUGAAUCUAUUGAUUGCAAUAAUGAAGAAAAACAAAUUAUAGUAUAUUUUAAAACUAUAUAAAUACGUUUUAUAUAUUGUAA